rnacentral:rRNA from 1 species
AAGGGGCAGUAAUGCAUGGGUAUCUACCCUGGGAUCGGGCAUAGCCUGUAGAGAUACAGGGUAAUUCCCGAUGAUGUCGCAAGACCAAAGCUCCGGCGUCCCAGGAGGAGCCCAUGUGAUAUUAGCUAGUUGGUGGGGUAACGGCCCACCAAGGCGAAGAUGUCUAGCGGGUGUGAGAGCACGACCCGCGCCACUGGCACUGAGACACUGGCCAGACACCUACGGGUGGCUGCAGUCGAGGAUCUUCGGCAAUGGGCGCAAGCCUGACCGAGCGAGGCCGCGUGGGCGAUGAAGGCCUUCGGGUUGUAAAGCCCUGUCGAGGGGGAGAAAAGGAAACUUGAUCUAUCCCUGGAGGAAGCACGGGCUAAGUUCGUGCCAGCAGCCGCGGUAAGACGAACCGUGCGAACGUUGUUCGGAAUCACUGGGCUUAAAGGGCGCGUAGGCGGGCUAUCAAGUCCGGGGUGAAAUCCUCCAGCUCAACUGGAGAACGGCCUCGGAUACUGAUGGUCUCGAGGAGGAUAGGGGCACACGGAACUGUGGGUGGAGCGGUGAAAUGCGUUGA